rnacentral:ribozyme from 14 species
UCUUUCUCUUCUCUUCCCUUUUCUUUGAAAGAAGAAGAGUGUUUCUUUUGCAAAAUUGAGAAGAAAACAGAGAAACUCUUUUGUUUGAAAAGAGAAGAGAAGAUGAGA